UCCGCCAUCAUAUUCUUGAGAUCAUUAAUGGUGCCAUCUUGCUCCAGCAGACGUGCCUCGAAGUCGUUCCCUCUAGUAGUCUGAGCAUUCACUUCAGCUCUUAGCGCCUCGACCUCCUCAAGAGAAGCAGCAGGGGCAGUCUGAGACGUGCUAGUGGACUGAGUACUAGAUCCAGUAGACACCAUCUGUGUCAUCAUUCCCAUCCCGAGCACACGGCCUUUCGUGUCCCUCUUCACCACCUCCUUAAAGAUGGCGUGUACCUCUUCUGGUGUCGGAUCCCUACCUUGAGUGGCUUGAAUAUCUUGAAUGCCAUCUCUAAACUCAUUUCUAAACGUCCUGAAAUAGAAUUAUAACUAGAAUUAAUUUUAUAUUGUAGUUGAUGGUUGAAUGUUUGUCAUUAAUUUUUUUAGUUCUUAAGUUUUAGUCACAAUAGUUAUUAAAAACCAGGGCAGUAGCCAUUGCUACCACCUCCGCCUCUCCCCCACCGGCGGCCCAAACUCCAAAAUAGAAAAUCGCCUCUUCCCCACCGGCGACACAAGCAUACUAAUAUUAAAAUUAAAUCAUGCUCAACGCACAUAAUCAUGCUUAUUCAAAUUCAAUCAAACAUGUUAUUCGCCUCUCCCCCACCGGCGACAUAAUUAACAAAAAUAAAAUCAAUUGCAAUAACUUAAUGUGACUAGGUACGACUAAUCUAAUCAAUCUAAGUAACCUAAUAUUUAAAAGGCCAUAGCUUGUGUGAAUCACUUAAUGUCAUGACUAGAUACAACUAAUCUAAUCAAUCUAAGUAACCUAGUAUUUAAAAGGCCAUAACUUAGCUAGAUUAAGUCAUGUAACCUAACACAUAAAUUAAGUAAAUUACGCAUGUAUUCAUACAAUAAUCCUAAAACCUAACACAUAAAUUAAGUAAGUUUAUAAAAGACUAACCUUUUAGAAAAUCUUGACAAAAGCUCACGAGAUGUCUGUAUUGAAGCUCACCCAACAAUCUUGCAAAAGCUACAAUUUUAUACAAAUACAUUCAAGUUAGCUCAAGUUCACUAUCAAAAGCAAAGAAGACUAAUAAUGGGUACGAAUCAAACAAGUGAAUGAGUACAAUAUGUUAUAAUAUUUGUUGCAAUGACUUCAUUCCCUACCUUAAAUAUUCUGAAUUUCUCAAUCUAUAUCUUCACUAAAAAGUCAAACGUAGUGAGCUGCUCCAAAUCUCUGAAGUGAGCACUCAGCUGUUUCGAGACCUGCCCAAACAUAAUUCAACAUUCAUGCAUGAGUCCACUAAUUUGAAAACAAAUAAUCUACAGCUAAGAGAUGAAAGUUACUAGUCGUCAAAAAUACUAUUAUAUCUAUCAUAAUAUUAGUAACUUGAAAUCACUCUUAAUCAGCUCAAUAAUACUUCUUACUAUGAAUAUAUCAAAGAGUUAAGAGUAUUUGAUAAUGCAUUAAUACUAUAAUUUAUCAAAGAAAAUUUUAUUUCAGCACAUGAAGGGCAACCAAAUAUGGAAUAUGCUUCUUUUAUUUGCUUAUUAAAGUAUCAGGAAUCAAAUAAAAGAACUGUAGGCGUAGCAUCUGAUUAACAAAAUGCAAUUCUAAUUAAAGAUGGCACCAUUUUCAAAUCUACCAAGCACAAGAAGUGAUCCUAGACUCUCCCAAAACUCCUCUAACUCAGAGGGUCAUAAUACAUUAUUCUCUUCCCCCCCCCCCCUCUCUUUUUUCAAUUUUCAAGAAUUAGAAAAACAGAGAC
rnacentral:lncRNA from 1 species